rnacentral:rRNA from 1 species
UUGUUGCGGUUAAAAAGCUCGUAGUUGGAUCUCGGCAAGUAGAGGGCGGUAUGCUUCGUGGCAUUACUGCCCUGUUACUUGUAGUUUUGCCAGAGGUUCCUGGGUGCUCUUAAUCGAGUGUCUAGGGAUGCUGGCAGGUUUACUUUGAAAAAAUUAGAGUGCUCAAAGCAGGCUAUUACGCUUGAAUAUUCGUGCAUGGAAUAAUAGAAUAGGAAGUUGUUUCUAUUUUGUUGGUUUUCGGAAAUCGACUUAAUGAUUAAUAGGGACAGUCGGGGGCAUUUGUAUUCAAACGACAGAGGUGAAAUUCUUGGACCGUUUGAAGACAAACUACUGCGAAAGCAUUUGCCAGAAUGUUUUCAUUAAUCAAGAACGAAAGUUAGAGGUUCGAAGGCGAUUAGAUACCGCCCUAGUUCUAACCAUAAACGAUGCCAGCUAGCGAUCUGAGGACGUUUUUUUUGUAGACUCCUCAGGAAGCUUCCGGGAAACCAAAGCGUGUGGGUUCCGGGGGAAGUAUGGUUGCAAAGCUGAAACUUAAAGGAAUUGACGGAAGGGCACCA